rnacentral:rRNA from 1 species
GGGCUCACACAAGCGGUGGAGGAUGUGGCUUAAUUCGAGGCUACGCGAAGAACCUUAUCCUAGUCUUGACAUGCUUAAGAAUCUCUCUGAAAGGAGAGAGUGCCUUCGGGAACUUUUGCACAGGUGCUGCAUGGCUGUCGUCAGCUCGUGUCGUGAGAUGUCGGGUUAAGUCCCUUAACGAGCGAAACCCUUGUCUCUAGUUGCCAGCGAGUAAUGUCGGGGACUCUAGAGAGACUGCCGGUGUUAAACCGGAGGAAGGUGGGGAUGACGUCAAGUCCUCAUGGCCUUUAUGACUAGGGCUGCACACGUCCUACAAUGCGGCAUACAAAGGGAAGCAAACCCGCGAGGGGGAGCAAACCCCAAAAAGUGUCGCUCAGUUCGGAUUGCAGGCUGCAACUCGCCUGCAUGAAGUUGGAAUCGCUAGUAAUCGCGGGUCAGCAUACCGCGGUGAAUGUGUUCCUGAGCCUU